rnacentral:rRNA from 1 species
UCCGGUGGCGAUGCGCUUAGGGGACACACCCGUUCCCAUCCCGAACACGAUGGUUAAGACCUAAGCGGCCGAUGGUACUAUAUUGGAAACGAUAUGGGAGAGCAGGUGGCUGCCGGAU